UGCAGUCGAACGGGAAACAUUUGAUAGUAAUAUUGAAUGUUUCUAGUGGCGAAAGGGUGCGUAACACGUGGGUAAUCUACCGUAAAGUUGGGAAUAACUUCGAGAAAUCGAUGCUAAUACCGGAUGUGAUUUAUUUGGGACAUCCCGAAUAAAUUAAAGCUGGGGACCUUCGGGCCUGGCGCUUUACGAUGAGCCCGCGGCCUAUCAACUUGUUGGUAAGGUAACGGCUUACCAAGGCUAAGACGGGUAGCCGGUCUGAGAGGAUGAUCAGCCACACUGGGACUGAGACACGGCCCAGACUCCUACGGGAGGCAGCAGUGGGGAAUAUUGGACAAUGGGCGCAAGCCUGAUCCAGCCAUGCCGCGGGUGUGAUGAAGGCCCUAGGGUUGUAAAACACUUUUAUGAGGGAAGAUGAAGACGGUACCUCAAGAAUAAGCUCCGGCUAACUUCGUGCCAGCAGCCGCGGUAAUACGAAGGGAGCUAGCGUUGUUCGGAAUUACUGGGCGUAAAGCGCGCGUAGGUGGCUUGGCAAGUCAGGGGUGAAAUCCCGGAGCUCAACUCCGGAACUGCCUUUGAAACUGCCCGGCUUGAGUCUCGGGGGGGAUGGUGGAAUUUCUAAUGUAGCGGUGAAAUGCGUAGAGAUUAGAAGGAACACCGGUGGCGAAGGCGACCAUCUGGACGAGUACUGACACUGAGGUGCGAAAGCGUGGGGAGCAACCAGGAUUAGAUACCCUGGUAGUCCACGCCCUAAACGAUGGGUGCUAGCCGUCGGGACAUU
rnacentral:rRNA from 1 species